GGAUAGCCCAUGGAAACGUGGAUUAAUACCGGAUACCCUCCUUUGAUCGCAUGGUCAGUUGAGGAAAUGGUCCGCCGCUUCGGGAUGGCCUCGCGGCCUAUCAGCUUGUUGGUGAGGUAAUGGCUUACCAAGGCAUAGACGGGUAGCUGGUCUGAGAGGACGAACAGCCACAUUGGGACUGAGACACGGCCCAGACUCCUACGGGAGGCAGCAGCAGGGAAUAUUGCGCAAUGGGCGAAAGCCUGACGCAGCGACGUCGCGUGAGGGAUGAAGGCUUUCUGAGUUGUAAACCUCUUUCAGUAGGGACGAAGCGAAAGUGACGGUACCUACAGAAGAAGGCCCGGCCAACUACGUGCCAGCAGCCGCGGUAAUACGUAGGGGCCAAGCGUUAUCCGGAUUUAUUGGGCGUAAAGAGCUCGUAGGCGGCUUGGCAAGUCGGUGGUGAAAUUCCGAGGCUCAACCUCGGAACUGCCAUCGAAACUGUCAUGGCUAGGGUUCGGUAGAGGAGAGUGGAAUUCUCGGUGUAGCGGUGGAAUGCGCAGAUAUCGAGAGGAACACCAGUAGCGAAGGCGGCUCUCUGGGCCGAUACCGACGCUGAGGAGCGAAAGCGUGGGGAGCAAACAGGAUUAGAUACCCUGUAGUCCACGCCGUAACGUUGAUCACUAGGUGUGGUGGACUCAUUGACGUCUGCCGUGCCGGCGCUAACGCAUUAAGUGACCCGCCUGGGGAGUACGGCCGCAAG
rnacentral:rRNA from 1 species